GCUUGUCUAUACUCUUCUCACAUGUGUUUUUAUUUUCCUCUUUUGAGUAAUGAACGAGUCCCACUCACACUCCCAUCCAACACUUGACCAUGUGAAUGUAACUUGUUUCAUAUCAUUAUGAAUAUGAUGUGUUCAAUUUCAAUACACACAUUCACAUUAAGCAGCAGUAGUAGAAGUAGAAGAUAUAUAUCCAACUAAACUAACUAACAACGGAAGAAAGAAUCAUCAAGCACAGUAGAAUAAUACUGUAAUAUGGCAACAACAAGGUCACUGGUGGGACCCACACCAUUUCUUCAUCCAUCAUACAAAUACAACAAAAUCAAUAAUGCUUCACUAAUCAAACCCCUC
rnacentral:lncRNA from 1 species